GACGAACGCUGGCGGCGUGCUUAACACAUGCAAGUCGAACGGUAAGGCCCUUCGGGGUACACGAGUGGCGAACGGGUGAGUAACACGUGGGUGAUCUGCCCUGCACUUCGGGAUAAGCCUGGGAAACUGGGUCUAAUACCGGAUAGGACUCCUGGCUUCAUGGUUGGGGGUGGAAAGCUUUUGCGGUGUGGGAUGGGCCCGCGGCCUAUCAGCUUGUUGGUGGGGUAAUGGCCUACCAAGGCGACGACGGGUAGCCGGCCUGGGAGGGUGACCGGACACAGUGGGACUGCGAUACGGCCCAGGCUCCUACGGGAGGCAGCAGUGGGGAAUAUUGCACAAUGGGCGCAAGCCUGAUGCAGCGACGCCGCGUGAGGGAUGACGGCCUUCGGGUUGUAAACCUCUUUCAGCUAUGACGAAGCGCAAGUGACGGUAGUAGCAGAAGAAGGACCGGCCAACUACGUGCCAGCAGCCGCGGUAA
rnacentral:rRNA from 1 species